rnacentral:lncRNA from 1 species
GUUUCUGAAAGUGCUUAGUUUAGUAGCUGUGGUGUACGGAAUAAGAGUGGAAGUCUUCCGAGCAUCUUAUGCUCCCUUCAUGAUGUGUUCCAGGUGGAUUGUUUCUCAGGCUCCUCUCCUUUAUGCCACCUCCCAGGAGGAGGUAACCACAGGUCUUGUGCAGGCAACCAGAGCUGCUGUGGGUUCCUGAGAGCAAGAGUCCUACAAUGUCCGGAAGACACUAUUUUGCAGCAAUCAUCCCCUCCUUCUUCUACGACUUCUACUGAACCUUUGAGGGCACCACCCAGGGGCUUCCAGAAGCCAUCUGCUAUGUGCACAAGAAGAACCUUGGAAUUAGCCCCCCAUCCCCAUGCUGGCACAGUCCAACCUAAUGGCUAACAGGUGUGGAGGACGCAGACAUUCC